rnacentral:rRNA from 1 species
UACUUAGUGGCGAACGGGUGAGUAACGCGUGAGUAACCUGCCCUGGAGUGGGGGGAAACAGUUGGAAACGACUGCUAAUACCGCAUAAGCCCACGGCCCGGCAUCGGAUUGAGGGAAAAAGGGAUUUUAUUCGCUUCAGGAUGGACUCGCGUCCAAUUAGCUAGUUGGUGAGGUAACGGCCCACCAAGGCGACGAUUGGUAGCCGGACUGAGGGGUUGAACGGCCACAUUGGGACUGAGACACGGCCCAG